rnacentral:lncRNA from 1 species
UUGGGGAAUUUGGGGUCAUUUUGGGGGUAUUUGGGAUCAUUUUGGGGAAUUUUGGGGAUUUUGGGUCAUUUUUGGUGGAUUUUGUGUCAAUUUGGGGGUUUUGGGUCAUUUUUGUGGGAUUUGGGGUCAAUUUUAUGAGAUUUUGUGUCAUUUUGGUGCGAAUUUUGGUGAUUUUGGGUCAUUUUGUGGGAUUUUGGCUCAAUUUUAUGGGAUUUUGGGUCAUUUUUUUGGGAUUUUGUGGGAUUUUGUGGGAUUUGGGGUCAAUUUUAUGAGAUUUACUGUCAUUUUGGUGAGAAGUUUUGUGAUUUUGGGUCAUUUUUUGGGAUUUUGGGUCAAUUUUAUGAGAUUUUGGAUCAUUUUGGGGCGAAGUUUUGUGAUUAUGGGUCAUUU